rnacentral:sRNA from 1 species
UUGACAGUUCUGGAGCCUGAUGUACUCUGUGUUUUCCCACACUACCUUUAGAAUAUGGUGCAGCCCUACUCUAGAGGGACCAAUUUGAGAGGAGAGAGUAGAUUAGUCUCCAUGCUUAUUCAAUCCAUGGUGUAU